rnacentral:rRNA from 1 species
UCAAGUGACUAAGUGCAUGUGGCGGAUGCCUUGGCGAUCACAGGCGAAGAAAGACGCGGCAGCCUGCGAAAAGCUGCGGGGAGCUGGCAAACGAGCUUUGAUCCGCAGAUAUCUGAAUGGGGGAACCCACACCGCAAGGUGUAUCCGUGACUGAAUACAUAGGUUACGGAGGCGAACGAGGAGAACUGAAACAUCUAAGUAUCCUCAGGAAAAGAAAUCAACCGAGAUUCCGGCAGUAGCGGCGAGCGAACCCGGAGGAGCCUAGCUUUUGAUAGUACGAACUUUAGCCGAAAGGUCCUGGAAAGGCCUGCUAUAGUGGGUGAUAGCCCCGUAGGCGAAAGAGUUCGUAUGGUACUAAGGAAGCGAGAAGUAGAGCGGGACACGUGGAAUCCUGUUCGAAGACGGGGGGACCAUCCUCCAAGGCUAAAUACUCGUGAUCGACCGAUAGUGAACCAGUACCGUGAGGGAAAGGCGAAAAGAACCCCGGGAGGGGAGUGAAAUAGAACCUGAAACCGCAUGCAUACAAACAGUAGGAGCCUUUACGGAGGUGACUGCGUACCUUUUGCAUAAUGGGUCAGCGACUUACAUUCUGUGGCGAGCUUAACCGAAUAGGGGAGGCGCAGCGAAAGCGAGUUCGAAAUGAGCGUUCAGUCGCAGGGUGUAGACCCGAAACCAGAUGAGCUAUCCAUGGCCAGGUUGAAGGUGUGGUAACACACACUGGAGGACCGAACCGACUAGUGUUGCAAAAUUAGCGGAUGAGCUGUGGAUAGGGGUGAAAGGCCAAACAAAUCUGGAGAUAGCUGGUUCUCCCCGAAAACUAUUGAGGUAGUGCCUCGUGUGUCGCUCCAGGGGGUAGAGCACUGUUUUGGCUAGGGGGACAUGGAGUCUUACCAAACCAAGGCAAACUCCGAAUACCUGGAAGCGUAAGCACGGGAGACAGAGCACCGGGUGCUAACGUCCGGACUCAAAAGGGAAACAACCCAGACCGCCGGCUAAGGUCCCCAAUAACAGCUAAGUGGAAAACGAAGUGGAAAGGCCGUGACAACCAGGAAGUUGGCUUAGAAGCAGCCAUCCUUCAAAGAAAGCGUAAUAGCUCACUGGUCGAGUCCUUCUGCGCGGAAGAUGUAACGGGGCUAAGCUGUUAACCGAAGCCGCGGAUGCACUGGUUAUCCAGUGCGUGGUAGGGGAGCGUUCUGUAAGUCUGCGAAGGCGGUUCGAGAGGACUGCUGGAGAUAUCAGAAGUGCGAAUGCUGACAUGAGUAACGUUAAAGCAGGUGAAAAGCCUGCUCGCCGUAAGCCCAAGGAUUCCUGCUCUACGUUCAUCGGAGCAGGGUGAGUCGGCUCCUAAGGUCAGGCCGAAAGGCGUAGCCGAUGGGAAUCAGGUUAAUAUUCCUGAACCUGCGUCAGAUGCGAUGGGGGGACGGAGCAUGAAAGAUCAUCCGGGUGUUGGAUGUCCCGGUUGACGAGCGUAGGAGGUCUGCAGGCAAAUCCGCAGACGCAUCUCCAAGGCGAAGUCACGUGCCGCCACGGCGGCGAAGUGAUCGGAAGUGCUUCCAAGAAAAGCCUCUAAGCCCCAGUCUGACGCGGACCGUACCGCAAACCGACACUGGUGGGCGAGCUGAAUAUGCUCAGGCGCUUGAGAGAACUCGGGAGAAGGAACUCGGCAAAUUGACACCGUAACUUCGGGAGAAGGUGUGCCGUAGUACCGUGAGAGGAGAGACACCUUGAGCGGGAAUCGGUCUCAGAGAAUAGGUGGCUGCGACUGUUUAUUAAAAACACAGCACUCUGCAAAGUCGAAAGACGACGUAUAGGGUGUGAUGCCUGCCCGGUGCUGGAAGAUUAAUUGAUGGGGUGAGAGCCCUUGAUCGAAGUCCCAGUAAACGGCGGCCGUAACUAUAACGGUCCUAAGGUAGCGAAAUUCCUUGUC